UAAUUGAAGAGUUUGAUCAUGGCUCAGAUUGAACGCUGGCGGCAGGCUUAACACAUGCAAGUCGAGCGGUAGCACAGGAGAGCUUGCUCUCCGGGUGACGAGCGGCGGACGGGUGAGUAAUGUCUGGGAAACUGCCUGAUGGAGGGGGAUAACUACUGGAAACGGUAGCUAAUACCGCAUAA
rnacentral:rRNA from 1 species